GACAUCAUGGGGGCGGAGCCAGGAGCAUCAGCGGGGUCACCCCCUGUGUGUAUAAAUCCUGCUACCAGGGAAUGCAGCGACACAGAAGUAGCACCAGCAGGAUGGGCAACCAGGCUAAGUGACCAGACUGCUACCACGCAGACAGCAAGCAGCAAAGCUGGGAGCCAGCCAAGACUUCUCCAGCCUGAAGCCUGGGCUUUGUUUGCAGAGUGGCUCCAGCUCCCCACUACACCUCUCACAUGGCCAUGAGUGAGCUAGCACCGCAACCCAGGCACCAUUACGCACCUUCUGAGUGAGUGGUACUGUCCUCAGUCAGCCAGUGAACUCCCAGUUUUGGCCCUCUUAGUAAGGCCCUCACGACUGUGCUGAAUUGCAGAAGACAUUGCAAAGACUUUUCUUGAAUCACUUCCACUUCAGCUUUCAAGGAAAAACAUUCAUGUAAAGUAGUGCCCUUUGACAGAAAUGAUGCAAGACUCUCCUGCAUCCCUUGAGUCAGGCAGAAUAAUUCCUGCUAUGGUGUCCUACAGAACGUGAAUUUCAACAUCAGUGCUGACCAGAGUGAAGAAAAUCGAAGACCUGAGAAUACAGGAAGCUGUCUAAGCAAAAGGAAAGGUCAGUUGGCUGCACUGUCUCUGAAACUCAGGUUCCUUCUGGGAUGCCUGAAAUGGAGAGCCUUCGUUCUUUCAUUGCUGUCACAUUGAAAAUGUGAGUCAUCACUCAUAAGGCACCAAGCUUAAACGUGGCUUUUUUCUGUGCCUUGAGCUGUAGAAGUACAAACAAAACCAAGGAUUUAAGAGUUUUUCAGUCUAUGAUUUGCCUUUGCCUUUUUUUAAAAAAACUUUUACAUUUUAGAGGGCUGAAAGACCACUUAAUAAGUGCAUUUUACAGCACACCAGGGUUUUCCUGCCUUAUGAAACCAAAUUUUACAUAGUUCUGUCCAAUUCAGUGAGAAGGGAAUCCGUGCCAUGGGGACAGGCCCAAAGGAAAAAGGACUUUUUGAGAAAUAGUAAAGGAAAAAGGAGAGUGAAAGCAUGUACAGAAUUGGGGUGGUGGCAUUUCUUGUUUUGCUGAGCAUGUUUUGAUCUUAUUUGUAAAGUGUAAUAAUUUGUUGUCAAAGGGCUGGUACACUCCCAGCUAUCUGCUUCCCCUGUUUACACGAUUUGGGAGCCACUAGCUGUUCCUGCAGAUUGUGCUGGGGAAUGACAUUUGCUCCCAAGCCAAGAUAAUAAUUAUAUCAUGUUUUCCUGUUCAUUAUAACAACUUACAAGCAGAUGUCCCAGGCUGUAAGGUUUGGAUUGAGUGUUGAUGACCUCAGAAAUAGUAAAGUACAAUACUUUUACGUAGUGGGGUUUGGCCUGCCCCAAGGACAUGUGCCAGCUGUACACUCCACAUCUGAAUUCAAGUCUGCUUUCCACAACAGUCCCUCUUAGAGCUCAGAGAUGUUCCCAACCACAGGCUUCUAUUGUGCCCAUUCCUCAGUGCAUCACACAUGACAGGAAAGAGGGAUCACAGCCUUCCAGGCAUGAUUCUGCCAUGCUAGUAACACCCCUGCCUUGUCUCUCCCUAUCAGAUAGCCUGCACAGGGUCACACCAUCUCCACGUCUCAUUACUGUGCGACUGGGUUGUGCUCUGCCAGGGGAGCAGGACCCCACGUUCUCAGCCGUGGGCAGCCAGAAGGGUACUGGCAGGCAUCCCACUUGCUAUCACGUGCCAACGGCAGGCUCCUUCAGGUAGCUAUGGCGUGGAAAUGUCUGCAUGCAGGAGCCCUUCAGCAGCAAGGAAAGGAAAGCCAGAGCAGGCUGCUGCUUUCCAUCAGGAAGAGUUUAAAGGCAACCUGCCGGCUGACAGAAGCACCAGCUGCAAGGAAAUUUCACUCCCCCCACACACAAUCCCCCAUCCUUUUUUUUUUUUUUUUUUCCUUUAUAAUGACAGCAAUGUUUUAAUCAACUUGGGUUGAGCAUGAAAGUCUGAGUGGGAGGAAUUACGGGGGAGUGGAGGAGGUGCAGAGGAAUAGCUGACUGCUGGCAUAUGCCUGAGCUGAGGGAUGCGCUCUGCGAGGAGGACAGUUAACCUACACAAAAUGUGCUGGCUUCCUGCCCACAUCGGGCACAUCGUGCUGCUCCAGCCUUUGUGCCAGGUCCCUGAGAUGAUGACAGUGACUGACAGAGAGAGAGAAGAUGGGGGGGAAAAAACAGCAGUGCACCACAAGCCAGUAAUAAGCUUGGUGUCAAGCCCAGGUUGAGCAGCAGUAAUUUUUGGGAAUGAGCUUCGGUGCAAAGGUAGCAAGCCAGCUAUGUGCUUCUGCAGAAUAAAUCAAGGCUGUGCCAAAGGGCUGCAAGGAUGGAGACAGCAGAGCUCCACAGAAAUGUAUCUGAAUGUGUGGCUUAAUGGGAACGUGAACAAGCCAUCUAACUAAGAGUGAAUCAAGGCUGGGGUUGGAAUUUCUUUCCUGUUAAAUACUGGUGGAAUAAAAGUAAUUAAAUAAAAUAAUUCAUAGCAGGAAAAAUUGGUGAGAAAGGCUUUGAUAGCACCUUUGUUUAUACCUGAAGACUUGCUUGCACAGUGGAUACUACUACAGCCAUUUUACCAAUACUUCCCUGGUCUUGGACCAGCCUGACCUUGAAAGUCUCCAGGGACAGGGCAUCCACCACCACGCUGGGCAACUUGUUUCAGUGUCACACCACCUUUACUGUAAAAAUCUUCAUUAUGUGCAAUCUAAAUCUCCCCUCUUUUAGUUUGAACUGCUUCCUCUUGUUCACUCACAACAGACCCUGCUAAAGAGUCUGUCUCCUUUUUUAUAGCCCCAAGCGUGCAGGAGGUAAUGGACUCAUGUCAUUGCCCAUUGCCCCAAAAAUCUUAUGACUAGCAACACAAUCAUCCUUCCUGGCUUACACCACACAACGCUCACAGACUUCUCCAGCAGCAGGGAAUUACCCUGGCACCUUCAACACAGAGCAAAACCAUCCUCCUUCAGUCUCCUCAGUGGAGGAGGAAGAAUAAAGUGAAGAGUCCGCUGCACAGCGUGCCUUAAUAGCUAAAAGCUGUGUGUGUCUGCUCUCUGAGUCCUGGCUGCUGAUCUACUUGCACUCAAGUUUUGCUUUCAGGCUGGUCUCUGAGAGCACUUAUCUACUUCAAAAAUAUUUUUAAUGAAAUCUGAGAUUCUCCAGGAGGUUGAGCUGCAAGGAAAAACAGCAAAUACAAUGAGGCUCAGGUCAUGGUAACACGGUAUUCCAGGAUAUUUGAAGAUGAGGGAAGAUGCCUUAGGUUAUGUGAUGAAUGAAAGGACUUGAGGUGAAGAGGCCUGCGGAUCAUUUUGUUUGCUUUGUUUACAUUUAUCACAGAGAAAGAGAGAAAGAGAGAAAGAGAGAAAGAGAGAAAGAGAGAAAGAAAGAAAGAGAGAAAGAAAGAAAGAAAGAAAGAAAGAAAGAAAGAAAGAAAGAAAGAAAGAAAGAAAGAAAGAAAGAAAGAAAGAAAGAAAGAAAGAAAGAAAGAAAGAAAGAAAGAAAGAAAGAAAGAAAGAGAACACCCAGGGACUGUUAAUGUGACUUUCAAUCUGCAGAAGUCACAAAGCAAGAAUUUCUUGGAAGUAAGCAGAUAAACAGUUGUUUUAAAAUACCCAUAGGGGAAGUAGAGAGCUACAGCUGCUCUCCCUCCACCCUCCACCCAAGGUGUGGGCCAUCCCUCCCAACUGCCUGUCAUGCACGGAUGGCACCAGAUGCCUCGCCAAACCUCCCUGUGCUGUCCUGGAACUGCGGGGAUGCAGAGAGGGAGGCAGGGACAGAGGCAGGGAGGGAGCUGGGCACUGAACUGCCACAAAUAUCUUCCAGCUGAGAGGGAGCUUUCAUCUGCUCCAAGAGGAUGUCGGGGCUGCUUGAAUAAGCUGUGUGUUUAUCUAACAUAUCCUGGGGGAGUUGUAAGUGACACUGCCGCACCUCAGUGAAAAGGCAGCAGAAGUUGAAAAAGUAAACAAAAAAGCCUGGUGGAAGGAUUGAGACAAGCUUAAGCCGUUCCUGAUUUCUUAAUGCAGAGCUGACAGCGUGCUGAAGGCAAAACGCGUGUGAUAAUGGCUUGCUAUGCAGAUGUAGCUGUUGUUGUUCAGGUGGCAGCUUUACACCUAGCAUUAUAUGAGGCACAAAGGAAAAGUGGGAAAAAGUGGUUUCUACGUUUUUGCCACUUGGAUGGAGUCUCAGUCUAAAGACUUAUGAAAGGCUUUAUUUUCAGGGCUCUGUUUUCUUCCUACCUCUCUACCUUUAGCAAUAUUAGCUGUGUCAAUUUUGUUGUUCAGCUGUCUCCAGUGGAAAACUUACAGGCAUUCACAGCAUAAGGUCCUUCAGGUUUUGUCUGGAUUUUUUAGCUCUUGAACAAAGGCUCCAUUUUUUUUUUUCAUAUCCGUUAAUAAAAAAUACUCGACAAAGCCCUGGAGCUUUUAAUAACUGUAUAGUUAUUAGAAUAGGUGGAAGAUUUUAGCAGAAACAGGAGAUCCUUCACAAUGAAUCUUUUUGCUGGGAGUGUGGUGUAGAAAUCUCACCCAAGAGGCCCCUUUAUCUGCCUACUCCAAAAAGGCCUUUGGUGGCAGAGCAGGCUGGGGUUCCUCAUGCUGUCCUGUGACGUGCUCAGGCAGUGGCUUCCCCAGAGCCUGCCUCUAUAGCCAACGGGGUCUCUUAAGUUACUUUUUAAGUAAUAUAUUGAAAAAAUCUGCAUUUAGAAUAGGCUACAUUUAGGUGCGGCAUACUUGUGAAUAUCCUUUAUGGUAAUACUUCUACAACUGGUGAGGAAUCAGGACAAGGGGAAAUGGUUUCAUACUUAAAGAGGGUAGAUUUAGGUUGGAUAUAAGGAAAAAGUCUUUCACAGUGAGGAUAGUGAGGCACUAGAAUAGGUUGCUCAGAGAUGUGGUGGAUGCCCCGUCCCUGGAGACUUGCAAGGCCAGGCCGGAUCAGGCCCUGGGCAACCUAAUCAAGCUGUGCAUGUCCCUGUUCAUUGCAGAGGAGUUGGACUAGAUGGCCUUUAAAGAUCUCUUCCAACUCUAAGGAUUCUGUGAUAAAAUAUUAGAACUGCCCUUGUAGCCAUCUGCAGACUGGAGCUUAUAGAUAGGCAUUACCUGAGGACCUUGAUGUACCUGCAGACUCCUUCUGAAGAAGUGCAGAGCACAUCUGCCCUUAUUCUGUGUGAGAACAUCUUCCUCACUCACUCAGUGUCCUCAGCAUAGUUCCUGGGAAAUACUACUGUAAGUAGUAGCAUCAGCUUUGUAUAGAGAUCCUUUCUGGAGUGGGGAGGAAGGAACAACGUGUGUACCUUUUAGUCUGAAAAGAGGAAAAAUUAUGAGCUCAGUUUGAUCUGUGUUAAUUAUUUGAGGACCAGAUUACACAGGCAGCCUCAGGAGGGCAAGGCCACCUUUUCACUGUACCCCAAAGAAUAAAGCAUCCUUGUUCAGGGGAGACCCCAGAUCACACAGGUGUCUAGUGAAUAUAUGUGCUGGUGUUCAAAUUCACAUCCAGCAAUGAUCUGUUUCAGGGUGAAUUUGGACUGUAUGUAGAGGUAGGAGCUAAUAUUAUGAACUAGGUUUUCAUUCUACCUAUUAAAUAUUAGUUACAAUGUUGGUUUUGUGAUUUCAUCCUCUUCUUGGUGGUUGGCACAAAAUGAGUCUGAGUCUGCCUUUGACUGGAACUCCAAACACCACCAGUGACCAGACAACAGCACAUCUCUCACUGGAUGCUCCCCCCUGCCAGAGAGGAGGGAUAUUUGUAGCAUUCCUUUUUCCAUCUUCAACAAGAAUGAACAAAGUAAGCUUUAACACCUUCGGCUCAUCCCUUCCUGGUCCACACUGGGGAACACCACUAUUAUUCUUGAGAGGAUCCGGUAUUUCCUUUGGCGUCCUGAUACAGAGCUCAAGAGGUAGGAAGAACAUUUGCAAGGCAAAUGCUUUCUGAUGGGCCUGCCCCAAGCUCACAAUUUGUAUGGAAAUGACACUGCAGUUAGUAUCCUAGAGCUGCAUCCAACCUUGGCUUCUGCCAGCAGAAGAGGCAGGGUACCAGAUGGCAAAAAUCCUACCAGAGCAUCAAGCAGUUUAAACUGUUCUUUUUGCUAGGAGUUUUAAUGGUCCAUAUGCUAAAAGUAUAACGCUCGGAUGCACCCUGGCUGCCUGGCAGAGGUCUCUACUGUUUGGGCUAAUGGGGAAGAGCAAUUAGCAAGUAGCAGCUAGGAGCUUAUAUGACCCAUUACAUCCCAAUGCAAGGCUGUACUGCAGUCACACACAUUAAAAUGUCUGAUAGUGAAUAUGGGGGAGGAUGGUGGUGCCUGUAUUUGUUGUCUGAGUGUUAAAUCCAGGCUUUCUCUCAAGUCCCUGCCUCAGACUUGAGAGUAAAACAAAGACUGACAGCGGUCCACAUUUCUGGUCUUCUCCACUUCUCCUCAGACUUUUGCUUCUGAGAUCAUCUACUUAAACACUGAGCUAAUGGAUGCAAAAGGCUCCAUUUAUUGUGGAUUUCAGAGCAAGAUUAUUGCUCUCUGAGCCACCUGUAAUUCCCAGGACCUGGUGUUGUGCCUCUUGGCAGCAAGCUGCACAGUGCCUGGAGCUGACAGUCCUCAUCACUGGGAUGGUUACUCACUGCGCAGCUAGGAUAGCCCUGCUCUUUCAUUGUCCCUGUGAUCUCAUGUUGUCACUAAAGUAGGCUUGUUUCUCCUCCAGGCACAUCCCCUUCUCCAGUUGCCCUCCAUAAGGCAUCUUUCAAAAGUCUUCCCUUGGCCUGGCUGGCCGAAGUUGCACCAAAGCAUGGGACACAGUGCCCUUUCCACAUGAAGGAAUGACUGAGCACAGCACUUCAAAGGCAGCAGUGCAGAAAUAUUAGCACUGCUCCUGGCUGAAGGGCCCUGAGCUGCUCCACCUGGCCCACCCAUGCUGGAGCCAGACUUGGGCCCUGUGGUUUGGAGGGCACCAUGGAAACAGGCCUGGAGAAUGGUCCUCUCCUGGUCAGGUCACUCUGCAUUGCCCUCCUGCUUCAGAUGUAUUCUAUCUUGGUUCACUGCUUCUGGACUUAUGAUAUAACAUUAGUCCAAUUUAAAUUUUGCUUUCUGUUUACUGGCCCAGUUACCUGAAAGAUCUGCUUCCUCCUGCUUCCAGUUAUGCUGCUCUUCAUUAUUUGCUUUUUCUCUCCACUGCUGGCACUAUCAACUGAUGCUGAUACGUCUCACAUCCGACAUCCUUAUCUGACUAAUUCACAUACAAACUCACUAUUCAAUGCAUUUAAUAGGUGGGGAGAUGAGGUUUUAGGAAUUUUGCAAGGUCACUGUAAAUAAGGUUGAGCUUCCAUUUGUUUUUUGCUUGUCCUUUUCACGUGGAAAAUUGUAUUUUGAUAUUCAUUAGGAGACUUAUUAGAAAAUGUAAGAGUGCCUUGAAACAGAUAUUUUAAUCAUGUAUGUAAUUUUUUAUGACUGUGACUAUUAGUGCUUAGCCUUCUUGUCAUCCUUGAUGCCUUUCGCCCAGAGGGCCUCCAGACAAACAAAUACUUUAGUAAAUUAUUCACUCUGUGUCUGUGAGUUACUGACCCCUUUAAAAACAGCUUUUGUUAUUUAAAAAAGUGUAUAUACAAUAUAUACAAAAAUACGGCGCUGUUUCUAAUGGAAAUAAACAAGGAGCUUUUCCCAGUGCAAAUGACUCGUUUCUUUCAGCUCUAUAUCAGACAACUUCUAGGCCACUCCAAGCCUGCCAGAUGAGCCCAAUGCUCCUUUGUGGCGAUACCUCGAUAUGUCUCUUACACUGGGUGGUACAUCAGACUUGUUAAAUGUUUCAGCCUUGUGAAGACAAGUGCUCCAUAACGAGUAUUUUGUGCAAGAUUCUCCAUAGUACCUGAAUCCCAGGUACUUGGGAGCCAUCUUCUCAUCCCUUUGUAUCAAGAGACAGCUGAAGGCCUGAGCAGCAAUCAAAGACUCAUACAGCACAGGCCUGGAAACCUUGUUGCCAGCCCAGAGCAGGAGUACACUGGACAUGUGGGAGCACAUUGUUCUGUGCCAUAGCAUGAAAUCUUUCCAUCCAGGUGAGGGGAAGCCAAUGAUUGUUUGCUGCCAGAAAGCCCCUGUGAUACUGAGAGGUGUCCAUAAAUGAAAGUUGUCUGUAGGUUGCUGUUAAGCUGUGCUCAAACAGCUGCCCUCUGCCCUGCUAGCUGUUCUGGAAUAGGCCAUGUGUUUCUCAGCUACGGUCACCAUGUUUAAACAAUGAAAGAAAGAUGCCUUUCAGAGGUUCACUUCAGACUCAAAAAUGUUAAAACUUCCCCCAGGACAGUUCAUAGAAAUCGUAACACCUUCAAUUCAAGGAGGCUCCUCCCUUCUUACUAUGCCUCAGGGAAAUUUUGUUCAUUUCAGCAAAUGACAUCUUUUCCCAAAUAAAGCAAAUCAUGGGUAGUCCUUAACAGUAGGUGUGAAUCCAUUUUUUACAGGUAUCAGGUCUUAUAUCUCAGCAAGGAGACUUCAUUUUCGCAAAAUAAGCAGAUAAAGAGACUGAGGUUUGAAAAUCUCCAGAGAAAAUGUGUAUUACAUGGCAAGGAGCAUAAAAACUUUCUCGCGUAUAACACUCAUGAAGUUCGUAUCUCCAUGGCUCAUGAUUAGAGACAUUUCACGUGUCCCUAAAGUUAGGAAGUUCUGUCAUUCUCGUUUUAUACAUGGGUCAUUUGAUAGUGGACAGGUGGGAAACGUAUAAGGAAGGUAGAAAAUAAGCCAGGUCUUACAAACGCUUGUCUGGGAAAUGCAAGCUAAAUGGUUAGUGUUAUGAGCUAGAGGAUAAAUCACUAGACUAGUAGACAGAAGUGUGUUUUAUCAGAGAUUUAUUGCAUUUUCUCAUUCUUAGCUUGUGGUUGUGAAAUAAAAAUGUCAACAAUUGACAAAGAAAUUAAACUGAUCCUGUAGUUGUUAUCAUUUUAUGCUCCUCGGGUGGUACUAGUCACAAAUAUCUCUUGACCAAUAUUUGUGCUAAAUAUCAACAGUAGGUUCCAGUAUUUGUCACUAAACAUUAUUUAGUACUGAAGACACACACGUAAAGAAAAGUAGAAGGAGAAAGUGAAAGGAUAAAAUAUCUGCAGACAGCAGGAAGACUGUGGGUAGCAUGCUAAACAUAAAAAAAAGAAAAAAGAAAAAAAAACCACUUCAGAAAACCACAGAGAAAACUAUUAGAAAGGAAAGAAAUACUUUCCCUCCCACAGUGUGUUAAAGUUACACAAGAGGAAAAGAUAAAUUCUUGCAUGUUAAAUGCUAAAUGUAAAACUAAUUAAGGUUGGACAAAAAAAGGGUUUUCAGGAGAGCUUUAAAAGGACUUAAAAUGUACCAGUGAUAGUAACAGUAGCAUUAUCAGCAAUAACAAAUGCACCCACCUUUGGAACAGGAAAGGGUCAGUGGAACAGUAGAUGAUAAGAAAAAAAGGAGUGUCAAGGGAGGUAAGGCCAUAGUGGAAAGAGGAAAUGAAUUACUGGUUUCACUAUUCGUUACCUGUGACAGUCUCACACCAGAAGGGAUAUUUUAGAGAUUGCUGAACAAAUCAUGAGAACAAGCCAAAAAUCAUCCGUGAGUUAUAACGUAAUUAAAAUGUGAAAUUAUUCAGCAACUAACUGUGGUGUGUAACCUAUCACUUUUCUUUUUCCAGAACAACAAAUGCACAGACACGUCACUAGUCUUUAGUAAUGACUGUGAGCAUGUUUGGGAACUACAGAUCAGUAAACCUCCUUUAAGAAACAGUCAGAUUUGUAGAAACAAUCAUAAACAGAGUUCUUAUACACAAAAAUAAAUGUACCGGACUGCACAGAAGACUUACCUUUAAAACAUAUGAGAGAUCUUUCAUAGAGCUAGAAAGUGCAUGAAUAAAUGUGAUUCAACUGAUACAGUGUGAACUUAUGUUUCACAAUGCUUUUGACAAGGUCUCACACCAUAGGUUUUUAAGGAAGGAGAGACUUCUGUGGUAUCUACCAGGGAUAAGAGGAGGGGGAGUUACAAGGCAGCAAAUCUCUUGCUCUAUGAAUCUGUGCGUUAUCCAGCAAAACUGGGGACUCACAAAAUGAUCAGUUCUGCAAAGAAGAUACAACUACUUGGAACAGUAAGAUGAAAUUACUCAGAAUAACAAAAUGUGAGACAAGUUUUGAGGGAAAAUAUCAGAGAAGUGUAAACAUUUAAGAGAGGGAUGUCGGGCAGGUGGAUGAGGAAAGACAGUUGAAUUUCUUCUGUCAGUAGAAGAACCCAGCAGAAAACCCAAGCAGCAAGCUUGAAACCGAAGUAUUUUUUUCAUACAUUAAUAUAAACUUAAAGACCAUGGGACUUGUUGCUACAUAACAUUGCAGAUGUCAGCUAAAAACAGGUUCAAAAAGAGAUGAGGCAACUUAAGGCUAUGAAUAAGACAUGUGGACCUGAAUGAAUUUUGUAUUGGUCUCAGUUUGGCAGUUUCAAAACCCCGCAGAAAAGAUAAUCAUUUUACUGAUCAUACAAAAUGGUAUUUCUUGUAAUAAAGUAUUCUUAAAAUGCAUCCUUAGAUGGCAAAGAGCUGUCAGAGUUUUGUUCUUGGCACAGCUGGUCAGAAAGACAGCAAAACAACUAUAUUCCACAGCAGGGGAGAUGGAAAUAGAUGAUUUUUGAGGUCCCUCCCAGCACAAGCCAUUUUAUUAUUGUAUGAUAAGAUUCUAUGAAAACCAGUGGAAAAAGUACUGGCAAAUGCAGUGUUGAAACAUCUCAUUCUGCCUUGAUUUUUUAAACUUUAUAUUAGCUUUUUCUUUUUUCUUUUUUUUCCUAAAACAUAAUAUUAACUUUUAAAGUCAAAGUCAAAACAGAGUGUUUCAGUUUCUAUUACAACAAAACCCGUCAAUCAACCUGAAGUACGUUGAGUUUUUAAAUUCCCCUUUGCUGAGAUUUACAAUCUUUGGGGGUCUCAUUGCAAUUCAGAACUAAGUCAACUUUUGAAACCUUAAACACCUUUAUAAAACUGGACUGCUGUUCUUUAAAACUUGGGCAAAGUCACUUUGUUUUCUUUUUAUUUCAGUUUGCCUGCCUGGAAAGUAGGAAUAACGUCACUCAUCCAUCUCUGCAAAGCAUCUUCAGACUCAGCACAGAAAAAUCACACAUUUCUGUGUCUUGUGCUGACAUUAUGCAAUCUCAGACACUAUGCCAAUCCUGCUACUUUCAGCUGGGCCUCUCUUUCCCAUAGUGAUUUGUUCAUAGACUUCAGAAGGACAAGAUAGGUCAUAUUUCUUCCACGAGAGCUGACCUUGGCACCUCUUGGACUGUCUCUUUUUCUGUCUGUAUUUGUCCAAUGUUUUUGUUUAGCCUUUUUAUUUGUGCAAAUUUGGAAUUGUUCCCUUUUUAUUUUGGUGGGGGUUACUUUCCCAAGGGCCAUUGAACUUUCCCUUAUCCAAGAUGCUUUUGUGGUUGGUGUUUUACUGCAUGGAGCGUGCAAACCUCUGGCAGCCCAAGCAGAGCUGGAUCAACCUUGGCAGGACAGCAGAUGAAGCUUACAGUGCUGACACUUGUGCCAUUGAUACAAAGAUAAAGGGAAGACCUCAUUCCCUAAAUUAUGAACAUUACGUCCUCAUAAGAGAGAAUCGGGCAUACUUUGUGCUGUACAUGAACCCUCUGCACAAGAGGGAAUUUUCUCCCUCCUUCUUUUCCCAGGAUGGAGGCAUCAGGAUUGCUAUGAGAUAGCAUGAGACAGGAAGAGUUUUUUGGGUCCUGGAAUGCCAAUAAGCACUUCAAACAUCUUUUUUGGUUUCUGGAGUCCCUGUAUCCAGCACCCCGGAGUGUGGUUUCUUUUUAUAAAAAGGAAGCCUGUGCUAUUUUUCAUACCAAUCACAUGCUGUUAUAAAUGGCUUAAAAGUUUCAAGGGCUCCAAAUGCUGAAAAACAGCUGUAUGCUGAUGUGAGCAGCAUGUGUAAGGAUGAUUUAAAUCUAGUUUUUAUCCUAUUUAACUCCCAGUGGCUUUUAUGUUUUCCAUAAAUGGCUGAGAAAAGUUCUUGGCUGGAAAGAGCCAUAAAAACAUAAUAAAUUCUUUGUAGUCUCAACAUUAGCAAUUCAUCAUACAAAUUUUGUUUGCUUAUUUUCUGGGAUUUUGUAUGUUUUCUGUGACUGAUGUGUCUUGGAUCUCCGAUGAGCCUCUUGUUCCUCACUACACCAAUUCAUGCAGAUAAAUUGUCUUUUAUGUGACAUCCAAAGGAGAACUUCCAUUGCCUGGGAUGGCCCCAAGGACAAGAACCACAUGCGUCCUACCAAGAUGUGACUCUUCCUUAAAAUCUCUUUUGUUGGAUAAUUAUUCUCAGCAACCCCAAGUCCACAAGAGGCAGCAUGACUCCUUAGUAAGAGCUUAGCAGAUUAUAAGAAGUCUGGGUUUUGUACCCCAUUGCUAAUUUGGGAAAGUGCUCUGUGACAUCUCUCCUUGCUCAGCAGAACUGCUGACAGAGGGUUUCAAGACCUCCUGAACAGAUCGUAGUGUGCAUAUUCACAUCACAUCUCCAGGGUCAGAUUUAGAGAUAAUUUGACUCAAACUAAUAUCUACAUAAGGGGAUUUUGCAAAUUUAUAAUUUCCAAAGGGCACAUCUGCUAAUAUUCUAUUAUAAUUUCUGAACUCCAUUUCUUUCAUUAAGGAGCUAAUUUUGUUCCCAGGAGAAUCAUUAGCUUUUCCCCAUUUUGAUUAAUUUAAUUCGUAUUACCAAUAGCUACCUAAGGCUUUAUGAACUGGAUGGGAACUUUUAGCUUUUGCUUUAACGCAGUCUCUCACCGUGAGAAAUCUUGUCAACUCUAAUUGCAUUCAGAGGAAUUUAAAUUCACUUUCUUUGACUUUUUUUCCAAAUCUGUAACUGAGUAAAGUGCAUAUUAUUCUCUUCACAGUACCCUCAUUCUUCCUUCAUAUAAAUGUUGACCAUAGAGGGCUCUUUGUCCAAAAUCAUUCUCAGGAGACUCGAUCCCAAGAGAUGGGAUUUCCGCAGCUCUUGUUGAGUUUCAGAGGAGCAUUUCAGAUUUUCUUCUCCUUGUGCCUGGGGCAGUGGAAUUUAAUUUUGGCCUCUCUACCUCCACCCUCCUCAGGUUCUUACAUUCAACCUUACAGCUACCCUGGGACAUUUGUUCAAAGGAGGGACGAAGUGGCCAUGGGGAUUAACUUCCGCUUGCCAUGGAUGGGGAAAUCAGUAACAACAGCAAAGAAGAGGAGAAGGAGUGCUUGGUGUAUGGCACAUAGGACAGCGCCCACACUUCUCUUAAGAAGUAUGAGCAGAUGCUGUUAGUGAAUGGGUCAAGCUGGGCUCCUUGGACAUCUCUCGUGACUAUGGCUCUCUCUGCGGCCACUGUCAGUCAAAACCCAGCAUUCUUUGUCCUUUGCCUCUCUGGCUGGCUAUGACCAUAGAUAUAUCCAUUACUAUAAAUUUAUUCUCAGAUCUUGAAGGAGACCUGAUAAUAAACUGCAAGUAUAUGUUCCUGUGUUCCACAUUUCUUUCCAGUUUUGCUUCAAGAUCUUGGACUUGCAAAGGGUACAAGGGUGUUCAGUUCUUCAUUUCUCUUGAAUGUCAAUGGGGAUUUUUCCUAGCUGGAUGAAAAUAUCAUCCUCCUCAGGCCUAAAAUACCACUCCACAUGUUCCUAAUCAUUUUGUUAUUUUUGGAUGCUUAGCUUCAGCUGUGGGGAUUGUAGUUGAUCAUCCAAUUCCCUGAUAUUAUCAUUAAAACUAGCGGGCUGUGAUAACAGGUAAAAUGCGUGAUUGAGGAAAUUGGUCUUCAAAGUUCUUUGCAGUGGUAACUAUAAAUGCCAGAAAUGUGGCGAACAUUUUGGAUGGGCAAAGUACGAUUAGAAUCUGCAUUCUCCAAAUGGCACAUCCUGGGAGACCUCACAGUUUCUAUUUAGAGACCUGGAACAGUAACCAAACCCAGCAGGAACUGCAGGCACUAUAAAUAGUGCAUGCUGGGACUGAUGUGGCCGGGCUGAGUGCAAGUACUGCCAAAACUCUGGGAUAAAGGGAAAGAUGUAGAGAAAAAAAAAAGGGGGGGGGGUCCAAAAUGCAGAACUUGGCCCUUGCUGUUGAAGUGAAGGUAGUUACAACUGCGGUUAUGUGAAUUCCCUUGCUGCAUGCAGACUUUGCAGCACACAAGUGGGACUCAGCCUGCAGAGCCUUACCUUGCUGCACGCUGGAGACAACACUGAGUAACACUGCGGACAGGAACUAAUGCUGAAGCUACCAGCUGCCCUGUACAUAUAGCACAAAGGCAGUAAACUCCUUAUCUCGCCACCUUAUAAAUCUUUGUUGGCCAUCUCUGUACAUGUCUCUAUAAGAACAUUUGAUCUAAUAGCCUUUUUAAAAAUUUCCCUUAAUUUUCCAGUAUAAUCCCCUGGUGAAUCAUUAAUGUAACAAGAUAAAGAUCUCUAGCUAAGGAAUUAUUCUUAUUAUAAAGUUCCCAAGUUCUAGUAGCAAACCUCUCCAGGGUAUAUAUUAAACCAAAAAGGUCCCACACAAUCAUUUAAAUCUACAAAAUUCAAUUCAUUUCUGACUCCCUCUGGGCACUUGUUUUAUAGUGAUCUAAUAAAGGGGAGUUGUGGCUGUUAAAUGAUAAAGUCUCCAAAGGGGAUGUGGGAACUCUGCGCACGAGUACCCAACAUUUGCUGGGAAGCUUUAUUUCUCCGUCUCACCUGCAUCCCUUUUGAAAGAGAAACCUUUCAAAGUCUUUGAAAAUCAGUAGAUAAUUUUGUGGGGUUUGUUUUUUAAAACGAGGUCCAUAAAGUUUUCUUACAUAAAUGUAUCACUUGAGGAUAAAGAUUACAAAAAGAUUAAACAUUUAGGUGUUCCAGAAAUUAUGUGUGUGCAUUUGGAAAAUCACUGAAACUGAGGACAGAGAAGUUGUGUGUUGGCUCUUCUUCCUUUCCUGUGCAGGAAUGUUCCCUGGGAUGAUUUACCUGCUGCUUUCUUCAGCCUAGUUCUAAAUUACCUGUUAAAUUAUCACUGAUGCCAUUCUGUUGUGCCAUAAUGCAACAUAACUAGGGAAUAGCAGACAGUGCCUGAUAGGGUUUUUUUCCACAGUCUUGAAACUGGAGAGGAGGGAUAAUAAAAUACUAGCUCCCCUGAUUGCAUCAAAACCAUAACUGCAGGUAUAGUGGGAUCAUCCACUGAAAUGCACACAUGAGACAUCAGAAGCUCAGAAGUUCUUUCUGCAAUUGGAAAAUAAAUUUACACGAGGUAUUGUGGUAGAGGAAUAAGUUGCUUUCCUGGUGUUAAACACAACUUGCUACCUGAUGCAGACACAGGGCUAGAUAAAGCUUGAUAACACCAGAGCUGGUUACAGCUCUCCUGAGAAAUGUCAGGGUCAAGACUGACCAGCUAUUGCAGCUUUCAAAGUCUGUGUUAGGAGAAUGCUUUCAACCAUUUUUAACUACGUGGUGACUACUAUGUUCUGCAAUAUGUAUUUUCCCUGUAAACAUGAGGCACAAAAGAGCAAAUUAGAGCUUCCUUCCACAACAAGAGAUCCAAAGAACAAUUUUCUGUACCUGCCCUGGGUACUUCAGGUGAAAAGCCCAUCUCUGGCCCCAGGAACAGGUGCAGGACACGAGAAAGAUGCUGCACCCAGCUUGCUAAAGGGGCAGCACCAGGCACAGCCUUGAGGGACUCUGAUACUUCCCCCAGCACCCUCUGGCUAUUCAGCA